CCUACGGGGAGCAGCAGUGAGGAAUAUUGGUCAAUGGCCGUAAGGCUGAACCAGCCAAGUCGCGUGAAGGAAGCAGGAUCUAUGGUUUGUAAACUUCUUUUAUAGGGGAAUAAAGGUAUCCACGUGUGGAUAUUUGCAUGUACCCUAUGAAUAAGCAUCGGCUAACUCCGUGCCAGCAGCCGCGGUAAUACGGAGGAUGCGAGCGUUAUCCGGAUUUAUUGGGUUUAAAGGGUGCGUAGGUUGUUUUUUAAGUCAGCGGUGAAAGGUUGUGGGUCAACCAUAAAAUUGACGUUGAAACUGGAAGACUGGAGUGUGUUUGAGGUAGGCGGAAUGCGUGGUGUAGCGGUGAAAUGCAUAGAUAUCACGCAGAACGCCGAUUGCGAAGGCAGCAUACCGGCGCCCUACUGACGCUGAGGCACGAAAGCGUGGGUAUCGAACAGGAUUAGAUACCCUUGUAGUC
rnacentral:rRNA from 1 species